UACGGAGGGUGCAAGCGUUGUUCGGAAUUAUUGGGCGUAAAGCGCGUGUAGGCGGCUAUUUAAGUCUGGUGUGAAAGCCCGGGGCUCAACCCCGGAAGUGCACUGGAUACUGGGUAGCUAGAGGACGAGAGAGGAAAGUGGAAUUCAUGGUGUAGGGGUGAAAUCCGUAGAUAUCAUGAGGAACAUCUGUGGCGAAGGCGACUUUCUGGCUCGUUUCUGACGCUGAGACGCGAGAGCGUGGGGAGCAAACAGG
rnacentral:rRNA from 1 species